rnacentral:piRNA from 1 species
UCCUCAAAGUGCACUCUCAAGCAAGUGUUG